GAUUGGCACAUGGUUACUUGUAUGAGUUACUUACUUGAUGCAUGUGUUGCCAAGGCUGUGUCACCUGUGCCACUCGCUUGCACACACUGUUCUGAGCACUAUGAAUGAGACUUCUGUCUCCCAGUGGCCUGUGAGGUGGACUCUACCCUGCAGACUUGCUCUUGAGUAGCAGUGCUCGCCUCAAGGGAGGGACCUGGAGUCCAGGGCAAGAAGGUGGACUUUAGUAGGAAGAGCCCAGGAAGCUGUGGCAAAGGAGAAACCCCAGCUCCUUGGCAGAUGAUUGGAGCAGGAGCGCCCUGUACCUGCCCUGCCUGCCUCCCCUGCACUUGUCACCCACACCUGCCCGGUGACUCUGUGCUUCAGACUUGCAGAUGGGCCACACACUGCAUGGGUGCACCUUCCCAGGUAAAAGUACCACCAAGACCCUGGACGUCUAUCCUUUGGCACUUAUGGUCUCCAAGUCUCAGGUCAGUUUCCCAGUUUCCUGUAGCCCCCGGUGGUCAACGAGGACCGGGGAACGCUCAGAACAUCCAGGAUUAUAGGCAGCCAGGCCUGUGCACAUAUGGCUGGUGGAGGCUGUGCCCAUGUGGCAGGACCCGUGUCUGCACCUACCCUGUGGAGUCACCAUAACCACAGGCACCAGUGUCUUCUGUAGCUCACAGCUGGGCAAAGGAAGACACAGGUCCCAUUGGAUCUUCCACACUUUUUUCUGACAUCAGGAACGUCCUGAGCCUUAACAGAGUUUAUUCUCUGGCAGGAAAACCCUCCACUGGGUGAGGUAUAAAUAGGCCAAAGGGGACAAGGGGGCCCAUUUCGAUUGCAUCUCCUGGCCCGAGCCCACACAUGGUACCUGUUACACAGCUGGUCAGCCUGAGGGAGCUGCUGGCCAAACGAGAAUCUCUUUGAUUAGUCCACCUCAAGAUGGACACGUGGGCAGCAUCUCCUACCGGGGCCCUCAAAAUCUCAGCCUAACUCCCAAUCAGAGCAUGGCGAAGCCUCUCAGGAUUUUCCAGGCAUAGAGAUUCACACCAGUAAUCCCAGCACUCUUGGAAGGCUGAGGUGGGAGGAUCACUUGGGCCCAGAGGUUUGAGACCACGUUGAGCAACAUAGGAAAACCCCAUCUCUACGAAAAAAUUUCGGAAGGUUCCACCACUGCAGAUGCCCUACAGGGGACGGUCACAAACUCCAGCACACCAGUGUCCAGGUGUAGCGGGGAAAGGGGCUUCUCCCAUCCUUGGAAGCUCCCAGGCUGCACUGCCUUCCCAGGCCCCAGCCACCAGGCCACUGCUCAGCAUCUCUGGCCUGCUGCAGAGGCAGCACCUAAGCUAGUCUUGACCAGCUUUAGAGAGCAGACACCGUAAGUGUGUGGCAGGGCAGAUAUAACUUUAGAUAUACUUGAGAAUGUGUUUCUGGAGUAGUUCAGAAAUUCAAUAAUGCUCACUUUUAUAAUUUUUGUGGAUUUUAAAUUACAGUGUCAACAUUAAUCAUACUUUUUAAAAGCAUUUACAGGAUAUCUUAACUGUAAAAAAUACAUAUUUAAAGUAAUGAGCUCUUUUCUCCAACUUAUUUUUCUUAUUUGACAUUUGUAUUCUCAAUUUCUUCAACAGCGAAGUAAUUUCAAAGACAAAGUUAGCAUCUUUAUUACGACCCUCAAGUUACCUGCAGGGCCUGCACACCAUGGGGGUCUGCGCACGAGAGGGGGAUCUUUUAGGCUCCCACUCCCUCAGCCAGCACCGGCCCCACACAUGAGACAGCAUAUGUAACUGUGCUUUUUUCUUAAUGACACAUUUAAGUAAUAUAAUUGAAUAAAGUAUUUUAAUGACUAUCUGGGGUAACAUAUAUAUGAUAUGUUUGAAACUUUGCUCUUAAUGCCUUAAAAAUUCCUUAAAAUGGGGCACCGGCCCCAUAUGCUGAGGGUGGCAGGUUCAAACCCAGCCCCGGCCAAACUGCAACAACAACAACAACAAAAAAAAAAAAAUAGCCGGGCGUUGUGGCCGGCGCGUGUGGUUCCAGCUGCUCGGGAGGCUGAGGCAAGAGAAUCGCGUAGACCCAAGAGUUGGAAGUUGCUGUGAGCCGUGUGACGCCACGGCACUCUACCCGAGGGUGACACAGUGAGACUCUGUCUCUACAAAAAAAAAAAAAAAAAUUCCUUAAAAUGUUCAUGUUUGAGGCAAAAUGAACACCCACUAGCUGGUUCACUAUUAGGCUGUAUAGUUACAACAUUCUGGGAGAUGGAGUUUGUUGUGUGCGGGAGCCCAGACAGGAGUGUGUGCACAUGCCACGCACACAGGCCACUCCACCACAUCCUCACUUUACCUGUCUUUUGCCACAUGCUUCUGUUUACCUGAAACUCAGGUCAUAUGUGAAGUUGUGUCCAGAGACAAAUUCUGGACCUGAACUCAACCUGCAAGUGAGGCCUCCUCUUCCUCUCUCAGGUGGGCAGGAGACUCUGCUGUGCACUCAGGUCAGAGGCCUCAGAACCCACCUUUCUCUCACUGGUCAGGACCACACCAGACUAGAAAGGAGAUUGUGGGGUCUAUUCUAAACCUUUAUAUGAGAUUUAUAUAUGGGCCAGGCUGAGCUGCGUUGUGUGUGGUCACCUGGCCACCAGACACCUGCCUUGAGGUUUGUUUUCUUACAGUCACUGUGUAGCUGUGGGUUCAGAGUUCAGUCAUCAGCCUGGGCCCAAGCCCCUCCCUGGCUGAGUGCAGCCUCACUGGUGCCCACCUACUGCACAGGGGAGUUUGCAUUCAGGCAGUUUAAGACUCAGUUGAUGCUCAAAAGCCCUUCAUUUACCUGAAAAUUGUCAGAGAAUGUUAUAUGUGUUAUAUCUCCCUGGGCUGGUCUUAUGGCAGUUAAGUGCAACACAGGUGGGGGAAUUGCCACUCCUUUCCAGAGGCAGAGCUGAGGCUCCUUCAGCUGCACAUUUAAGACUGUGUGUGUGGUGCACGUGCCUGAGGACACCACCGCCACCGCCAGCCUCCCAAGCAUCCCGGGCCCUUGGACACCAGGAUGCCUGGGCUACCAGGUGAAAGGCCCCACAUCCUCCACCCUCACCAUCCUUGUCCUUCCGGAUGGCAUGUGGCAUAUGUUGGCUGCUGCACUGUAAGUUCACUCUGUCCUGACAAUGAGCACCGUCAGAUGCUGAGAAAUCUCAUGGUGAUGAAGUAUUCUAAGUGGGCUCCCAAAUCCCUAAUGAUAUCUAAACGUUUUUCUCUGUGCAUGUUAUGUGAUAUAUACAUGAUUAUUUCAAACUCUGAGAUAUAGGCUAAAUAUGAAAUAUGAGCAAUAAAAUAGCUUUUUAAUUACGUCUUCCUCAGGCUCCUGUCCCUUUGGUUACCCGGCAACACACUCAGCCACAGCAUUGGUUUUGGGGCCAUGGGCCCUCUGGGGUGAUGCUGUGAGGGGUGAGCAGAGAAAUCCCUCAGGGCUGUUGCUUAGGACUUUUGAAAUGUCUCCCAAGACAGCAUGAUAGUGGCCUUUACCUCUGAUCUUCUGUGGCCUCUCCCAAGGUGGAGUGCUAGUCUCCUGAGGGGAAGGGGGUUGAUGCACGUCUAAAAUCUCAUGGUUUCUUCCAUUGCUUCACCUUGCUUUGUUGACAUAAACUUGCUGCCAUAAUUUUAGCAUUUCAUGUUUUUUAUAACAUUCUCUGACAAUUUUCAGGUAAAUGAAGGGCUUUUGAGCAUCAACUGAGUCUUAAACUGCCUCAAUGCAUGCUUCCCUGUGCCGAUGGGAAGGGAGGGGCUUGGGUCCAGGAGCUCAGCCUGGCCCAUAUAUAAAUCUCAUAUAAAGGUUUAGAAUAGACCCCACAAUCUCCUUCCCUGCACUCAGCCGGGGAGGGGCUUGGGUCCAGGCUGAUGACUGAACUCUGAACCCACAACUACACAGUGACUGCAAGAAAACAGAAACCUCAAGGCAGGCCCCUCCCUGGCCGAGUGCAGCCUCACAACAGUGCCCACCCCCAUCCACACAGGGGAGGCCAUGCACAGAGGGCCCAGGGAGAGGGUUGCCAGCAACU